rnacentral:rRNA from 1 species
GGUGAACGCUGGCGGCGUGCCUAAUACAUGCAAGUCGAGCGAACGGACGAGAAGCUUGCUUUUCUGAUGUUAGCGGCGGACGGGAGAGUAACACGUGGAUAACCUACCUAUAAGACUGGGAUAACUUCGGGAAACCUGAGCUAAUACCGGAGAAUAUUUUGAACCGCAUGGUUCAAAAGUGUAACACGGUCUUGCUGUCACUUAUAGAUGGAUCCGCGCUGCAUUAGCUAGUUGGUAAGGUAACGGCUUACCAAGGCAACGAUGCAUAGCCGACCUGAGAGGAUGAUCGGCCACACUGCAGAUGAGACACGGUCCCGACUCCUAAGGGAGGCACCAGUAGGGAAUCUUCGGAAAUGGGCGAAAGCCUGACGGAGCCAAGCCGCGUGAGUGAUGAAGGUCUUCGGAUCGUAAAACUCUGUUAUUAGGGAAGAACAUAUGUGUAAGUAACUGUGCACAUCCUGACGGUACCUAAUGAGAAAGCCCCGGCUAACUACGUG